AUGGUUGUUCCGAAGACAAUAUCAAUUCAAAUUUCGAAGGAAAGUUACAGCAAGCUGGUCCAGCUGGAGGCCUGUGGCAAGGCCAAGCUUCCCCAGGGACUCAGCAACCCCAGAUGCCAGGCUCCCCAGGACUCCUCCAGCUUCCAUCACUAUGGUCAUUGUUGGGUAUUCAGUACAGGCACCCAGCUGACCAUCUUAGAUCAGCCAAAGUCUGCUCCUUUGGUCACCCUCUUCCCUCCCUCUUCCGAGGAGCUCAGUGGCAACAAGGCCACCUUGGUGUGCCUCAUCAGUGACUUCUACCCCAGUGGCUUGACAGUGGCUUGGAAGCAGAUGGUACCACUGUCACCCAGGUUGUGGAGACCACCAAGCCCUCCAAACAGAGCAACAACAAGUACGCAGCCAGCAGCUACCUGAGCCUGUCGCCUGACCAGUGGAAAUCUCGCAGGAGUUUCACCUGCCAGGUCACACAUGAGGGGAGCACCGUGGAGAAGAAUGUGGUCCCCGCAGAGUGCUCUUAGGUGCCUGAGACACCUUGCCUCCCACGUGGAUGUGCAGCCAUUGAACCUCCAAGAAGGACUCCCCACACACCCAGGUCAAGUGGAUCUUUUUAGGUAGCAUUAGCUGCCUUGAU